UUAAGUGACUAAGCGUACAAGGUGGAUGCCUUGGCAAUCAGAGGCGACGAAGGACGUGCUAAUCUGCGAAAAGCUUGGAUGAGUCGAUAAGAGGCGUUUAAUCCAAGAUGUCCGAAUGGGGAAACCCAGUAGAUGAAGAAUCUACUAUCACUUACUGAAUCCAUAGGUAAGUGAGGCAAACCGGGAGAACUGAAACAUCUAAGUACCCCGAGGAAAAGAAAUCAACCGAGAUUUCGUUAGUAGCGGCGAGCGAACGCGAAGGAGCCUGUUAGUGAUAAUGACAGAGACAGAGGAACAAGCUGGGAAGCUUGGCGAUACAGGGUGAUAGCCCCGUACUCGAAGUCCAGGUCAUGGUACUAAGCUAACGACAAGUAGGGCGGGACACGUGAUAUCCUGUUUGAAGAUGGGGGGACCAUCCUCCAAGGCUAAAUACUCCUGAUUGACCGAUAGUGAACCAGUACUGUGAAGGAAAGGCGAAAAGAACCCCGGUGAGGGGAGUGAAAUAGAACCUGAAACCUUGUACGUACAAGCAGUGGGAGCCCUUUAAGGGUGACUGCGUACCUUUUGUAUAAUGGGUCAGCGACUUAUAUUUUGUAGCGAGGUUAACCGAAUAGGGGAGCCGAAGGGAAACCGAGUCUUAACUGGGCGUCUAGUUGCAAGGUAUAGACCCGAAACCCGGUGAUCUAGCCAUGGGCAGGUUGAAGGUUGGGUAACACUAACUGGAGGACCGAACCGACUAAUGUUGAAAAAUUAGCGGAUGACUUGUGGCUGGGGGUGAAAGGCCAAUCAAACCGGGAGAUAGCUGGUUCUCCCCGAAAUCUAUUUAGGUAGAGCCUUGAGCGGACACCUUCGGGGGUAGAGCACUGUUUCGGCUAGGGGUCCAUCCCGGAUUACCAACCCGAUGCAAACUACGAAUACCGAAGAGUGAUACUCAGGAGACACACGGCGGGUGCUAACGUCCGUCGUGGAGAGGGAAACAACCCAGACCGCCAGCUAAGGUCCCAAAGUCUAUAUUAAGUGGGAAACGAAGUGGGAAGGCUUAGACAGCUAGGAUGUUGGCUUAGAAGCAGCCAUCAUUUAAAGAAAGCGUAAUAGCUCACUAGUCGAGUCGGCCUGCGCGGAAGAUGUAACGGGGCUCAAAUAUAGCACCGAAGCUGCGGCAUCAGACGAAAGUCUGUUGGGUAGGGGAGCGUUCUGUAAGCGGAUGAAGGUGGCUCGAGAGGGCUGCUGGACGUAUCAGAAGUGCGAAUGCUGACAUAAGUAACGAUAAAACGGGUGAAAAACCCGUUCGCCGGAAGACCAAGGGUUCCUGUCCAACGUUAAUCGGGGCAGGGUGAGUCGGCCCCUAAGGCGAGGCUGAAAAGCGUAGUCGAUGGGAAACGGGUUAAUAUUCCCGUACUUGGAUAAACUGCGAUGUGGGGACGGAGCAGGUUAGGUUAUCGCACUGUUGGAUAUGUGCGUUUAAGUUGGUAGGUGUGAAGUUUAGGCAAAUCCGGACUUCUUUAACACCGAGAGAUGAUGACGAGGCUCUACGGAGCUGAAGUAACCGAUACCACACUUCCAGGAAAAGCCACUAAGCUUCAGGUUUAUCUAAACCGUACUGAAAACCGACACAGGUGGUCAGGUAGAGAAUACUCAGGCGCUUGAGAGAACUCGGGUGAAGGAACUAGGCAAAAUAGCACCGUAACUUCGGGAGAAGGUGCGCCGGCGUAGAUUGUAGUCCCUUGCGGAUGAAGGUUGAACCGGUCGAAGAUACCAGCUGGCUGCAACUGUUUAUUAAAAACACAGCACUCUGCAAACACGAAAGUGGACGUAUAGGGUGUGAUGCCUGCCCGGUGCUGGAAGGUUAAUUGAUGGUGUAAUCGAAAGAGAAGCUCCUGAUCGAAGCCCCAGUAAACGGCGGCCGUAACUAUAACGGUCCUAAGGUAGCGAAAUUCCUUGUCGGGUAAGUUCCGAC
rnacentral:rRNA from 1 species